rfam:Parastrongyloides trichosuri strain KNP genome assembly, scaffold: PTRK_scaffold0000003
GGCAACAUGUUCGAGUGGUCUAAGAAGUCAGACUCAAGUUUAAUAACUUAUGCUUAAUGAGCAUCUAGAGGUUUCUGAUCCCGUAAUCGGGGCGUGGGUUCGAAUCCCACUGUUGUCA